UACGUAUGGUGCAAGCGUUAUCCGGAUUUACUGGGUGUUAAGGGAGCGUAGGCGGCGCGUUAAGUCUGAUGUGAAAACCCGAGGCUCAACCACGGGAGUGCAUUGGAAACUGGCGGGCUGGGGUGCCGGAGAGGUAAGCGGAAUUCCUAGUGUAGCGGUGAAAUGCGUAGAUAUUAGGAGGAACACCAGUGGCGAAGGCGGCUUACUGGACGGCAACUGACGCUGAGGCUCGAAAGCGUGGGGAGUAAACAGG
rnacentral:rRNA from 1 species